GCACAAGCGGUGGAGCAUGUGGUUAAUUCGAUGCAACGCGAAGAACCUUACCUGGGCUUGACAUCCCGAGAAUCCCUGGAAACUGGGAAGUGCCCUCACGGGAACUCGGAGACAGGUGCUGCAUGGCUGUCGUCAGCUCGUGUCGUGAGAUGUUGGGUUAAGUCCCGCAACGAGCGCAACCCUUGUCUUUAAUUGCCAUCAUUCAGUUGGGCACUUUAAAGAGACUGCCGGUGUUAAACCGGAGGAAGGUGGGGAUGACGUCAAGUCCUCAUGGCCCUUAUGGGUAGGGCUCCACACGUCAUACAAUGGUCGGUACAGAGGGUUGCCAAGCCGCGAGGCGGAGCCAAUCCCACAAAGCCGAUCGUAGUCCGGAUUGUUCUCUGCAACUCGAGAGCAUGAAGUCGGAAUCGCUAGUAAUCGCAGGUCAGCAUACUGCGGUGAAUACGUUCCCGGGUCUU
rnacentral:rRNA from 1 species